UACGUAGGGUGCGAGCGUUAAUCGGAAUUACUGGGCGUAAAGCGUGCGCAGGCGGUUAUUUAAGUCAGGUGUGAAAGCCCUGGGCUUAACCUAGGAGUUGCGCUUGAGACUGGAUAGCUUGGAGUGCGGCAGAGGGAGGUGGAAUUCCACGUGUAGCAGUGAAAUGCGUAGAGAUGUGGAGGAACACCGAUGGCGAAGGCAGCCUCCUGGGCCAGCACUGACGCUCAUGCACGAAAGCGUGGGGAGCGAACAGG
rnacentral:rRNA from 1 species